UACGUAGGGUCCAAGCAUUAUCCGGAUUGACUGGGUGUAAAGAGUUGCGUAGGUGGAUAGUUAAGUAGGUAGUGAAAUCUGGUGGCUCAACCACUCAGACUAUUACCUAAACUGAUUGUCUCGAGAGAGUUAGGGGUAGCUGGAAUUUCUAGUGUAGGAGUGAAAUCCGUAGAUAUUAGAAAGAACACCGAUAGCGUAGGCAGGCUAAUGGGACGUUUCUGACACUAAGGCACGAAAGCGUAGGGAGCAA
rnacentral:rRNA from 1 species